GCAGCCACGUGUCAAAAAGAGGUAAUUAUAGCCUCUGUACACACAUAUAAAACUUAAGCAAAUGCACCCAGCAGAGAGCUGAGGAUUAGGAACGAGAUGGAGAUGUCAUCCAAUCGUCACCAUGGCGCACAAUGUGCAGAAUGGGUUUGAAAAAAAAAUGCAACCGGUGAUAGGUGCUUUCAAUAAAUAAAUUUCCACAGUGCAGGAGUGACUUCAGCAGCGACAGCCCAAAGACAGCUUGUGCCGAGGAACAUCAACACCUUGACUCCAAAAUCUAAUUAUGUGUCACAUGGAGCUUAUGUUGAAGCCUAUAUUGUUUUUCUUAGUUUAACACACGUGGAAGUCGCUUAAAGAUAAUUAUGGCAAAUAGCUCAAAACUAGUCAAAUCACUCCUCUAACAGCAGCUACUCUGACUUGUUUGUUGCUGUGUGGUUGUUUGCAAUAAAAUAAAAAUAAGUAGGCAACAUCUGAGAUGAGAACAUCUGCAACGUUUCCACAGUUGAAAGCCCGCCGUCCCUCCCUUCUCCCCUCUGUCUGUCCACAGACAUUCUUGACAAACCCUGUCUUUCGACACUCCCAUGAGCUAAUGCUCUGUCGCGAGGAAGCCACCAGCUUUGAGUUGCAGAUAUAGGGGAGGGGGAGGAAAGAGGCAAGGAGGAAACACAGGGGACCUGAGGAGUGUUUAGGAGGAAGAUGGCUGUCAGUAGCUGUCAAUCGUUGACUUUUUGAUGCCAUCGUCUUGGCACAGGCCUGUCUGUCUCGCGGUGCAGCAGCUAUCAAAGACUCACUCACAGCAGACAGACGCUGGGAUGGAAACACAAGAAGAUCUGCACAUUCUCUCAUUUCCACCUGGCACACAAACUCCGUCAAAUCUGCGGAUUGCGAUGAAGCCCGUCCCUUCACCUGAUCUUCUCGAAACUCAAAGAGCAUAAAGAAAGACUUGAUUGGAAGCAAAUUAACAGAAAAAGGUGAUUAGAGUCCAGUUGCACUGAUGUAUUUGUUACUUAUUUAUUAUUAAACUGUUGCUUUGCACUGCAUAUCAAUGGUCUAGGCAGACACACUUCCUUAUGCUGAACCAUCACCUUAUUACACACCUGAUAUGUAACUUGAUUAUAAACAAAGCGCAGGCUGACACAUUUUUUAGCAUAUACAAAAAUUAUGCAUGGUUGUCAAUUUUCAUGUGAAUGUCUAUGAUUUGUACAUUUUAUGCAAAUAUAAGAGCAGAAUUAAACUAAAGUCUAUUGCCG